rnacentral:rRNA from 1 species
GACAGAGGGGGCAAGCGUUGUCCGGAAUCACUGGGCGUAAAGGGCGCGUAGGCGGCCUAGCAAGUCUGGUGUGAAAGCCCAGGGCUCAACCCUGGAAGGGCACUGGAAACUGUUAGGCUUGAGUUCCGGAGAGGAGGGGGGAAUUCCCGGUGUAGCGGUGAAAUGCGUAGAUAUCGGGAGGAAUACCGGUGGCGAAGGCGCCCCUCUGGACGGAAACUGACGCUGAGGCGCGAAAGCGUGGGGAGCAAACAGG